UACAGAGGGUACAAGCGUUAAUCGGAAUUACUGGGCGUAAAGCGUGCGCAGGCGGUUGUGCAAGACAGAUGUGAAAUCCCCGGGCUCAACCUGGGAACUGCAUUUGUGACUGCAUCGCUGGAGUACGGCAGAGGGGGAUGGAAUUCCGCGUGUAGCAGUGAAAUGCGUAGAUAUGCGGAGGAACACCGAUGGCGAAGGCAAUCCCCUGGGCCUGUACUGACGCUCAUGCACGAAAGCGUGGGGAGCAAACAGG
rnacentral:rRNA from 1 species